GUAUGCAAAUGCCGUGCUCCUCUCUCCCGCCGUUCGCGGGCUACCGAGCGUCCUGAGAGCUCACUUGGUGUUACAGACAUAACCGUGGUGGCUUCUCAACCAGCUCGCUGUGACGGCAUCAAACACCAGGACUCAAACCCGGGACCUUUGGAUCCAGUCACUCUUCUGGCACUGGGAGUACCGCCUCCAGAAGUAAGAGAGUGCUAAGAAUAGUGCUCUAAAGUGUUCCUCUUAUUGAUAUGGUGAAUUAAAGUUAAACUGAGUUUUAAUAAUGAUUAUGUUACCAUGAUUGUGAUAGAAGUAUGUUUUUAUUAGUGUAAAAGUCCCUGGUAGUGAAGUAGAGGCUCCUGAAAUAAUUAAUUUAAAGUUAAUGCCCUUCAUUGUACUUCUACCAAAAUGUUUGCAAUGAAUGCACAGCUAAACUGUAGAGAGAUUAUAAGCAAGUAUCAAACUGCAUUGUGUACACCUGUGUAUCCCUGUACAUGUGACAUGAAUAUAAUAAAUCCAACUUGAUCCU